rnacentral:lncRNA from 10 species
CUUUUUGAGGUGACGAUGCAAUAUAAGUGUGCCAUCUAGGUCAGGGCCAUCAUCAUCUCUGGCUGAUGCAUUAAAAUAAACUGAAAUAAAAUGAAACAGCUGGUCAAGGCUAAUUUCCUUCCCACCACCAAGAUCCUUUAUAGGCAAUGUGGUCAUCAGUUGCACGUCUUCACUUGCAAAUGUUUCAAGGGAUGUGAUGAAGUGGAGGCCAGCCAGGGUAUUGGACAAUAAUUCCAUCUUCUCAUAAGGUAAUUCAAACUUCCUGUGGCCUGGGAAUUAGGAGGCCUGGAUUCUAGUCCAUGCCUACUACCAAGGAUCUGUGUGACCCUGGACAAGUCGCUUCACAUCUGUGGAUCUUGGUUUCCUUGUUUGUCAAGUGGCAGGGCUGGAGAAGACAGACUCUAAGGCUCCUGUCAGCUCUAACAGUCUCAGAUGAUUCUGAAUGUAGAACUUUAGCUCCUCAAGUGGUUGUAGACUUUGGGAAGGACCGAAGUCAGGUUGCUGAAGGACAGAGGAAAAUAUAUAAUCUUGAGGUGGGUCAGAUUGAAGCCGGGGUCAAGGAACAGGCCCCAUAACAUGUUGUCCACAACCCCUGGGAAUUUUAAUGACCUUGAAGAAUGCCAGGCUGCUGAGUUGAUUUGACUUAGAACAGUGUAGGGUCAAAUGAUGGUUCCAGGGAGGUGAGUGAUGGGGUGGUGAGGCAGGAAGUAGAGAGUUUGGCAAUUCCAUUCUUAGGUUUUAGGCUGAGCAGAGCAUCCUUGGUUGGUGGGUUUCACUCAGACUUACCUACCUCAGAAAUAUAGAUGUGGGAAGACUGUGAGUCAGAGAUGAAAGCUCAACAAGACUCAUUUUUGCUCUUUAGUUGGGGUCAAACUAGAGAGAGGAAUGUGAAGAAGAGAUGUGGCGAUGGAUUUCUCCUUCUUAAUUGACUGAGUGGUUUCCAAC